CCUACGGGUGGCAGCAGUGGGGAAUCUUCCGCAAUGGGCGCAAGCCUGACGGAGCAACGCCGCGUGAGUGAAGAAGGUCUUCGGAUCGUAAAGCUCUGUUGACGGGGACGAACGUGCGAAGGGUGAAUAAUCCUUUGCAAUGACGGUACCUGUCGAGGAAGCCACGGCUAACUACGUGCCAGCAGCCGCGGUAAUACGUAGGUGGCGAGCGUUGUCCGGAAUCAUUGGGCGUAAAGGGAGCGCAGGCGGGCAUGUAAGUCUUUCUUAAAAGUUCGGGGCUCAACCCCGUGAUGGGAAAGAAACUACAUGUCUUGAGUACAGGAGAGGAAAGCGGAAUUCCCAGUGUAGCGGUGAAAUGCGUAGAUAUUGGGAGGAACACCAGUGGCGAAGGCGGCUUUCUGGACUGCAACUGACGCUGAGGCUCGAAAGCCAGGGGAGCGAACGGGAUUAGAUACCCCAGUAGUC
rnacentral:rRNA from 1 species